UGGGGAAUCUUGGACAAUGGGCGCAAGCCUGAUCCAGCCAUGCCGCGUGAGUGAAGAAGGCCUUAGGGUUGUAAAGCUCUUUUGCCAGGGACGAUAAUGACGGUACCUGGAGAAUAAGCCCCGGCAAACUUCGUGCCAGCAGCCGCGGUAAUACGAAGGGGGCUAGCGUUGUUCGGAUUUACUGGGCGUAAAGCGCACGUAGGCGGGUCGGUAAGUCAGGGGUGAAAUCCCGGAGCUCAACUCCGGAACUGCCUUUGAUACUGGCGACCUUGAGGCUGGAAGAGGUUAGUGGAAUUCCCAGUGUAGAGGUGAAAUUCGUAGAUAUUGGGAAGAACACCAGUGGCGAAGGCGGCUAACUGGUCCAGAUCUGACGCUGAGGUGCGAAAGCGUGGGGAGCAAACA
rnacentral:rRNA from 1 species